rnacentral:lncRNA from 1 species
CUCAAGGAAAGAGAGGGAGUGCCAAGCUGUUACUGUUUACCCUCUGGCCCAGAUCUUUCUUCAGAAGAAACCUGAGUGGUCUCACAGGGGUUUGGAGUAAGAUUCAUACCUGCUUCACCAGUGAUUUUCAAAGGAGGCAAAUCCUAUUUGAAGCUAAAGUCACAUAAAGAGAUUUGGAAUGAGGAAACAAAUUAUAGCAGCCUGCAAGUUGUAGAAUGAAGAAAUGCAAAUGUAAAGUACUGAACUUUGUCAUGGAUAGAUUUACCAAAGAGAAUUACUCUGCAUAACAUGAAUAAUGGAGUUCAGAAGGAAGCCCAUAUCCCAGGUACAGGGAAAACUCAGAGACUUCCUCGGUUGUGCUGUUUUACUGAGGUUGGGUGGAGUCAACACAUCAUGGAUAAAGAAGUCCCUAAAGGCAGUCCCAGGGAGCCCGCACUGAACAUCAAGAAGUCAGACAAAUCCUUCAAACGCAAGAAGCCCACCGAAAAUGUGCUGAUCUUUUUAAUCAACAGACAACUGGGCAGGCACAGAAGUGACAUCGACCUGUCAAGAUGGGUGUGGAUGCUGUCAUAAAGCAACUCUAGGGUGGACAUGGCCUUGGACAAAAAGUCAUGUGGCUUACGUGCUGAAGCCUGCCCAUAUUUUUGAGAAAUUAAAUAUAAUUAGAACAAUAAACUCCUCCCAUGUUUGAGUCAUUAAAACAGAGUCUGUCAUUUCACUCCUUGAGGUUGGAUGUGUGUUUGCUGACAGGGUGUUCUUGGGUUACACUGGAAGGGGCUUCUGUUCAUCCUAACACGCUGUGCAGGGGUGCUUAGACCCAGGGGAGAGGGUGAGAUCAUGCUGCACACCAGAUCUCUCCCACCAUCAAUCUGAAAAACACUGCAAAGUCAAAGUGAUGUAGUACUUGGCAUUUAAGGACCAAAGACUCUUCUCCCUAGCCAUUUUGAAGAGACUGCCCUGGUGUUCCCCUCUAAAACCCAAUGCUUGUCCUAGUGAAAAGACAUUGUUUAAGAGCAGACCAACAGUUGGCCUGGGGGUUUGGGAUAUGUUUUAAUACUGCCAAUGUCAUAUCCACAGAGCCUUCCAGAGGCAACCGCUCUGCCCUUUGUCCCCAGGAAAGUAUAGAAUGCUCUGGUCACUUUUUUGUGUCAUGUCAAACAAACCUGCUCAGGCCACAGCCAAAGAUAAUUCAUUUGACUGAAAUGAAGCCACCUGGUAGGACAACAACACACAUGAGAUGGCUCCCAUUGAAGAAGCUCUGUCCCCAAGGAAUGUGCUGAGCAAGUCAGAUACUCAUUCUGAGAAACCUGAAAUGGGAACUAUGUGGGCAAUUGGUCACUGACAAGUGAGAGUUAAAGCUGAAGAGGGGACAGGGAGAGCAAAGAGGUCAGAGCCGUGGCAAACAUGGGCAAGCCUAAGUGAGGAGUAAGAUGAAAUUUACAUAAGGUGAACCAUUAAAGCCAUCACAGAUUCCAAGCAUUUCUCUUGUCCUUUCACGUGAGCUGCAAAAUAAGCCCCUGCAAGCAGUCCUCUGUCCCCUCUUCCCCUCCUCCCCAAUUCCCUGUGUUCUCACAACCUGUCCAGCAUUCCCCAAGGCCCCUUCCUGUGUCCCCUCCCCCGCCUACAUCUAAGGGGCUGUUACUCUCUCUUCCCUUAGCCAGGUCUCUUCCAGAUUUUUUAUGUGGUACGAAGUUAAACUGCUCUAUGUCCUUUUCACUGUCCUCUUUGUCCCUGUCACCUUCUCUGUCCCUGCACUGAUGCAGCAUCGCCAAAAAAGAGCCACCAGCCUCUCCUCAGAGGACGCAGCUGGCUGUAGGAUGGAGAGGAGGGGUUAGAGGCUGCCAGGUAGAGGGGCCUCCUGGGUGCACCGUUGGGAGGAACGCUGCCUGGACACUGCUAUGUCGGUGACUAUUUACCUGCAGCCCAGCAUCAAACAGUGGCUGUGAGGUGGAGAAUAGGUGGGGAAUGGAGGCUGAAAGGGCAGCAGGUAGGGCAAGAAGGAGCCAAACCCACAGGAGCAGAGGCCAAUAACAGCCAACCUCCUACACUCCAUGGCCACACAACAGAAGAGACAGAAUUUAGGAUACAGAGUUAUGUGUGGAUAAAUCUCACCAUCAUACUGAGUGAGAAAACAAGUAGCACAGAAUUAUGUACCAAAGAGAAACCCAACUGUGCCAAGCAGUACUUGGGUAUAUACAUAGACAGUAAAGUUAUCCAAACUAGAGCAGCAGCACAUUCAAGUGGAACUCUGUCCACUUUCCGACUUGACUAGUGCCCCAAAACAAUUGGUACCAACUAUUUCCCAUCUUGCAAGGAGUUGCCUAACAAUGGAGGCCUGGUAAAGAAGGUAAUCACAAUCAUGUGACCUCUGACCACUCACUCACCUACAGGUGUCUACUCACACUGGAAGUCUGGGUGGGUUGGAGACCAGAGAGGCAUGCUUCCCAGGGAUUGGAGGCUGUGCCGAGUUUAAACGAGGAAAACUUCCUACACUUCAAAUUCACUGGAAGGUUGGGGCUACUCAGUGUUCACCUAGAGAACUUGACUUUUGUUUCCAGAAGUGACACUCACAAGGAAGAAAUUCAGGAGGAAAGUGGCUGUAGGAGAGGGAGAGAAGAUUUGGCCAAAAUUCCUCUGAAGAGAUUUUUCUCAGGAGAUCUUAGUGGCGGCCAAAUGUAACCUUCUCGGGACGGGGAAGGGGGUGGGAAUCUGGAUGCAGCUGACUCACAGGAAUCAGAGGCUGACUGGAGACCAUGCACACAGUGUCAGGAGACACUCUCUUCUUCUACUCUUUCAUUUCUAGCUGCUGCCUCUCAUUGCUCAAAUCACUAACCAGACAGCCAGGAAGCCAAGGUGAUGUCUUCCAUGGUAUCAGCCUUCUGGAACACACAGCCCUGCAGAGAAGCAUAUAUC